GAACGCCGUGUGCGGUGAAAGCUGCACGCACGGUGUGGAGCCGGGGAAAAGUUGGAGAUUAUAUCAAAGACUUACCUAUGGCUAU
rfam:Faecalibacterium prausnitzii A2-165 genomic scaffold Scfld1, whole genome shotgun sequence.